UACGGAGGGGGCUAGCGUUGUUCGGAAUUACUGGGCGUAAAGCGCACGCAGGCGGUGCGGUCAGUCGGGUGUGAAAUCCCAGGGCUCAACCCUGGAAUUGCAUUCGAUACUGCCGCGCUGGAGGACGGAAGAGGAGAGUGGAAUUCCCAGUGUAGAGGUGAAAUUCGUAGAUAUUGGGAAGAACACCAGUGGCGAAGGCGGCUCUCUGGUCCGUUUCUGACGCUCAUGUGCGAAAGCGUGGGGAGCAAACAGG
rnacentral:rRNA from 1 species